UACGGGGGGGGCAAGCGUUGUUCGGAAUUACUGGGCGUAAAGGGCUCGUAGGCGGCCAACUAAGUCGGACGUGAAAUCCCUCGGCUUAACCGGGGAACUGCGUCCGAUACUGCAUGGCUAGAGUAUGGUAGAGGGAAGUGGAAUUUCCGGUGUAGCGGUGAAAUGCGUAGAUAUCGGAAGGAACACCAGUGGCGAAGGCGGCUUUCUGGACAGUAACUGACGCUGAGGCGCGAAAGCGUGGGGAGCGAAC
rnacentral:rRNA from 1 species